GUGUGUAUAUACGAUCGAUCAGGGGCAGAGGGUGAGGUGAAACCCUAGUUUCACCAAAAUCCAUCAAAUUGAAGGGGGAUUGAAGGGCUAAACUAAUGCAUGAACCAAGAUUGUCGAUCACUUUAGCGUUUCUACCAUCAUGAUCAUGUUUAGAGGGGAAAGCAUGGAAGGCAAACGGAAAAGGGAUGAGGAAGCAUGUACGAAACGGACACUCGAGGUGACGUGGACUUAGCUUCAUUAUGAAGAAAAGAGGAAUUGAAGAUCGAGUUAAGAGCGAGGGUUGUACGGGAAGGGAUCGGUCACAUAGUUUGACAAAUAUAAGUUUUGAAGCAUUAAUAAAAUGGAACGUGGUAAAUCCUUUUCAAUGAAUGUAUGAAAUUUUGUAGUUGAACCUUCAUGUAAGUAUUAUGUCUAGUAAAGAAAGAAAUUUUUGGGCUCUUA